rnacentral:rRNA from 1 species
GAUGAACGCUGGCGGCGUGCCUAAUACAUGCAAGUCGAGCGAACGGACGAGAAGCUUGCUCUUCUGAUGUUAGCGGCGGACGGGUGAGUAACACGUGGAUAACCUACCUAUAAGACUGGGAUAACUUCGGGAAACCGGAGCUACUACCGGAUAAUAUUUUGAACCGCAUGGUUCAAAAGUGAAAGACGGUCUUGCUGUCACUUAUAGAUGGAUCCGCGCUGCAUUAGCUAGUUGGUAAGGUAACGGCUUACCAAGGCAACGAUGCAUAGCCGACCUGAGAGGGUGAUCGGCCACACUGGAACUGAGACACGGUCCAGACUCCUACGGGAGGCAGCAGUAGGGAAUCUUCCGCAAUGGGCGAAAGCCUGACGGAGCAACGCCGCGUGAGUGAUGAAGGUCUUCGGAUCGUAAAACUCUGUUAUUAGGGAAGAACAGAUGUGUAAGUAACUGUGCACGUCUUGACGGUACCUAAUCAGAAAGCCACGGCUAACUACGUG